GCAAGUCGAGCGAGAAAGUUGAUGCUUGCAUUAACCGGAAAGCGGCGAACGGGUGAGUAACACGUUGGUAUCUGCCCCCAAGUCAGGGAUAGCCAUUGGAAACGAUGAUUAAUACCGGAUAGUCUCUACGGAGUAAAAAUUUAUUGCUUGGGGAGGAACCUGCGGUCUAUCAGCUAGUUGGUGUGGUAAAAGCACACCAAGGCUAUGACGGAUAUCUGGUCUGAGAGGAUGACC
rnacentral:rRNA from 1 species